UACGUAGGCAGCGAGCGUUGUUCGGAUUUACUGGGCGUAAAGGGCGCGUAGGCGGCCACCGCAAGUCGGUUGUGAAAUCUCCGGGCUUAACCCGGAAAGGUCAAUCGAUACUGCGGGGCUAGAGUGCAGAAGGGGCAACUGGAAUUCUCGGUGUAGCGGUGAAAUGCGUAGAUAUCGAGAGGAACACCUGCGGCGAAGGCGGGUUGCUGGGCUGACACUGACGCUGACAGCGCGAAAGCUAGGGGAGCGAACGGG
rnacentral:rRNA from 1 species